AUUGAACGCUAGCGGGAUGCCUUACACAUGCAAGUCGAACGGAGUGGCGAUCGGGUGAGUAAUGUAUCGGAACGUGCCCAGUAGCGGGGGAUAACUACGAGAAAGCGUAACUAAUACCGCAUACUCUUGGAGCGGCCGGUAUCGGAUUAGCUAGUUGGUGGGGUAACGGCUCACCAAGGCGACGGUACGUAGCUGGUGUGAGAGGACGACCAGCCACACUGGGACUGCGACACGGCCCAGACUCCUACGGGAGGCAGCAGUGGGGAAUUUUGGACAAUGGGGGAAAGCCUGAUGCAGCCAUCCCGCGUGUGCGAAGAAGGCCUUCGGGUUGUAAAGCACUUUUGGCAGGAAAGCGGUACCUGCAGAAUAAGCACCGGCUAACUACGUGCCAGCAGCCGCGGUAAUAC
rnacentral:rRNA from 1 species